rnacentral:lncRNA from 10 species
GUUUAGUCUAAAACAAAAGCUAGGCAUUUUCUGCACCUUUGAGGAUUUACCUAGCCGGGUCCUCCAGAAGACAGAGCAAUCUACCUGUCAGGUGCCAGGACUUCCUCUCUGUUUCCGGAUCACACUCCGUGACCCCAUGAGCUCCUCAGGACAGGGAUGAUGUCACCAUCAUUUUUGUGUCUUCAACUCCUCCACCUCAUAGAUUCUCAGUGAAUGUUUGCUGAAUCAGUAGCGCCAGCUUCACAUGCUUUAGAGGCAGA